GAUGAACGCUGGCGGUAUGCCUAACACAUGCAAGUCGUACGAGAGUUUUUAACUCUAGUGGCGGACGGGUGAGUAACACGUGAGAAUUUGCCUUUAGGAGGGGGAUAACAAUUGGAAACGAAUGCUAAUACCCCAUAUGCUUUUGAGUGAAAUGGAUUUAUCCGCCUAAAGAGAAGCUCGCGGCUGAUUAGCUUGUUGGUAAGGUAAGAGCUUACCAAGGCGACGAUCAGUAUCUGGUUUGAGAGGACGAUCAGACACACUGGAACUGAGACACGGUCCAGACUCCUACGGGAGGCAGCAGUGGGGAAUUUUCCGCAAUGGGCGAAAGCCUGACGGAGCAAUACCGCGUGAGGGAAGACUGCCUAUGGGUUGUAAACCUCUUUUUUCAGGGAGGAAUAAAAAUGACGUGUACCUGAAGAAUAAAGCAAUCGGCUAAACUCCGUG
rnacentral:rRNA from 1 species